UACGUAGGGCGCAAGCGUUGUCCGGAAUUAUUGGGCGUAAAGAGCUCGUAGGCGGCUUGUCACGUCGGGUGUGAAAGCCCGGGGCUUAACCCCGGGUCUGCAUUCGAUACGGGCAGGCUAGAGUGUGGUAGGGGAGAUCGGAAUUCCUGGUGUAGCGGUGAAAUGCGCAGAUAUCAGGAGGAACGCCGGUGGCGAAAGCGGCCCGCUGGACCCUCUCUGACGCUGAGGCGCGAAAGCCAGGGGAGCAAACGGG
rnacentral:rRNA from 1 species